GCCGGAUACAGCCGGGACAGGGGCUUACCUGCCUCCGGAGCAGAAGGCCGCAGGUUCGAAUCCUGCCGAGGGCA
rnacentral:tRNA from 1 species